GAGUAAACUGGCGAACGGGUGAGUAACGUGUAGGUAAUUUUCCUUUAAGUGGGGUAUAGCGAGGCGAGAGCCUGAUUAACACCGCAUACAAUCAUGAUUCGAUGGAGUUGUGAUAAAAGAUGGGUUCCUUCGGGACCAUUGCUUANAGAUAAGCCUGCAUCUGAUUAGUUAGUUGGUAGGGUAACGGCCUACCAAGACCACGAUCAGUAGCUGUUCUAAGAGGAAGAUCAGCCACAUUGGGACUGAGAUACGGCCCAGACUCCUACGGGAGGCAGCAGUGAGGAAUUUUGCGCAAUGGGUGAAAUCCUGACGCAGCAACGCCGCGUGACCGAUUGAAGCUUUUAGGAGUGUAAAGGUCUGUCGCGAGGGAAGAAAAUAACCGAGAAGACAAGUUCGGUAGUUGACGGUACCUCGCAAGCAAGCUCCGGCUAACUUCGUGCCAGCAGCCGCGGUAAUACGAGGGAAGCAAGCGUUGUCCGAAAUAACUGGGCGUAAAGGGU
rnacentral:rRNA from 1 species